GAUGAACGCUGGCGGCGUGCUUAACACAUGCAAGUCGAACGGAAAGGCCGAAGCUUGCUUCGGUACUCGAGUGGCGAACGGGUGAGUAACACGUGGGUGAUCUGCCCUGUACUUCGGGAUAAGCUUGGGAAACUGGGUCUAAUACCGGAUAUGACGAUCUCUUGGAUGGGGUUGUGGAAAGCUUUUGCGGUAUGGGAUGAGCUCGCGGCCUAUCAGCUUGUUGGUGGGGUAAUGGCCGACCAAGGCGUCGACGGGUAGCCGGCCGGAGAGGGUGUACGGCCACAUUAGGACUGAGAUACGGCCCAGACUCCUACGGGAGGCAGCAGUGGGGAAUAUUGCACAAUGGGCGCAAGCCUGAUGCAGCGACGCCGCGUGGGGGAUGACGGCCUUCGGGUUGUAAACUCCUUUCGCAAUCGACGAAGCCUUUUGGUGACGGUAGGUGGAGAAGAAGCACCGGCUAACUACGUG
rnacentral:rRNA from 1 species